rnacentral:rRNA from 1 species
CCUACGGGUGGCUGCAGUGGGGAAUAUUGGGCAAUGGGCGAAAGCCUGACCCAGCAAUGCCGCGUGAAUGAAGAAGGUCUUAGGAUUGUAAAAUUCUGUCCUAUGGGAAGAAAAAAAUGACGGUACCAUAGGAGGAAGCCCCGGCUAACUACGUGCCAGCAGCCGCGGUAAUACGUAGGGGGCGAGCGUUGUCCGGAUUCAUUGGGUUUAAAGGGUGCGCAGGCGGGCCUUUAAGCCGGCGGUGAAAUCGCGGGGCUCAACCCCGCCGAGCCGUCGGAACUGGGGGCCUUGAGUGCGGCGGAGGCAUGCGGAAUGCGCGGUGUAGCGGUGAAAUGCAUAGAUAUCGCGCAGAACCCCGAUUGCGAAGGCAGCGUGCCGUGCCGCCACUGACGCUGAGGCACGAAAGCGCGGGGAUCGAACAGGAUUAGAUACCCCUGUAGUC